rnacentral:rRNA from 1 species
UACGUAGGGAGCGAGCGUUAUCCGGAUUUAUUGGGCGUAAAGCGUGUGUAGGCGGUUUACUAAGUAUAAGAUUAAAGCCUGAGGCUCAACCUCAGUUCGUUUUAUAAACUGGUAGACUUGAGUGUAGUAGAGGUAAGUGGAAUUUCUAGUGUAGCGGUAAAAUGUGUAGAUAUUAGAAGGAACAUCAGUGGCGAAGGCGACUUACUGGGCUAUUACUGACGCUGAGGCACGAAAGCGUGGGGAGCAAAUAGG